GAUGAACGCUGGCGGCGUGCCUAAUACAUGCAAGUCGAGCGAAUAGACGAGGAGCUUGCUUCUCUGACGUUAGCGGCGGACGGGUGAGUAACACGUGGAUAACCUACCUAUAAGACUGGGAUAACUUCGGGAAACCGGAGCUAAUACCGGAUAAUAUAUUGAACCGCAUGGUUCAAUAGUGAAAGACGGUUUUGCUGUCACUUAUAGAUGGAUCCGCGCCGCAUUAGCUAGUUGGUAAGGUAACGGCUUACCAAGGCAACGAUGCGUAGCCGACCUGAGAGGGUGAUCAGCCACACUGGAACUGAGACACGGUCCAGACUCCUACGGGAGGCAGCAGUAGGGAAUCUUCCGCAAUGGGCGAAAGCCUGACGGAGCAACGCCGCGUGAGUGAUGAAGGUCUUCGGAUCGUAAAACUCUGUUAGUAGGGAAGAACAAAUGUGUAAGUAACUAUGCACGUCUUGACGGUACCUAAUCAGAAAGCCACGGCUAACUACGUG
rnacentral:rRNA from 1 species